rnacentral:lncRNA from 1 species
GGUGAACAGCACCUGUCUGCACACUGUACUGGCAAGGGAUGGAGGAGGGUUGGCAUGGGCAAGGUAAGGCUGCCCCCCUCUCUUCCCCCAGCCGUCUCCUCUUGUUUUUAUGAUACGGUCUGGCACUGCGAUCUCUAACCUUGUUCCGUUUGCUUAAGUAAAGGUAGUCUUUUGCAAGGUCAGGUGUCCAAACUGAUGUUUCUGCAGAGGUUUGACUAGUGGAGAACCCCAUUCCUCUGAUUUUUUAUUCCCUACCAUCUCAGAUUUUCUGUUUAAAUCUUUAACUUAUUUUUAUUUAUUUCUUUUUCUUUCCUUCUCUGUCCAUUCUUUUAUUUUUUUCUCCCCCCUCCCUCUUUGUUUUAAGUGUUGGAAAUCAAACCAAGAGCCUCAUGCAGGUCAAACAAGAAUACUACCACUGACCCAUGAACUCAGUCCUCUUUAAACCCUUUUGAGUAGAUUCUUGUAUAUGGUGUGAAAUAACAGGUCCAAUUUCAUUCUUUUGAAUGUGGAUGUCAAGUUUUCUCAGUUUAAUUAAGAUCAGUUUUUAAAAACUUACCCAUCACUCUGUAUUUUAAGGGAACAAUGAUAAACGUGAACAUACAGGAGAAAUAAAAGUAGGAAGACAGUCAGCGGUGACUAAAGCAGAAUUCUCCAAGUACACCCAGGGGAGCGACUCUUGAUUUCUAUAAAAUGUAGACAAUUAUUUCCAGCUUCUCUGGUCCCAACCCUUCAGUUCUCCUAUAGGAUACCCGGCCAAGGCUGUGUCUGGCUCUACAGAAUCAACGUCUCAUUUUGGGAUAAAAAAGUGUGUGUGUGUGUGUGUGUGUGUGUGUGUGUGUGUGUGUGAGAGAGAGAGAGAGAGAGAGAGAGAGAGAGAGAGAUGUAAAUCAGUUAGUUUGGAAGUUUAACAUUAAAUGAGUGCAAUCUUUCUGUUCCCCCUUAGGGGAAGCCAGGAAAGAUAAAUAGUUUUUAUUUUACUUCCAAAAAAUACCCACUUAGCAUAAUCUUAAAUAUACUUGAGAUUAAAUAAUCACCUACAACUUAUCCUUCAAACAUUGCUACAUCUGCUUGAAGUAGGAUGUACCUGGAGGACGAAUUUGUGCCCCAACAGAAAAAGAUGGUGUCCCAAGCUGCCACCACCCAGCCUGAGCUGUCAGCGGAUCCCUCUUGGCCCCGUUGACUGUGCUGAGAGGCAGACCCACACACUGCAGGCAGUUUCUGUUGUCCCUACGCUGUCUCUGGAGUUGUCCGCUUGAUGUUGCGAAAUUCUGUUUUUGAGGUUAGAGCAGAAAAAAAGAAAAUUGCCAAGAAAUUGUCCUUUGGGCCACUCCAACACUUUGCACACAUGUGGCAUCUGUGCUCUGUUUUUCCGCUGUUGCUCUGUUUUACUUUGUUUUGUUUCAGCUUGGGGUGCAGGAAGUGCGGUGCAGCCCAGUUGCCGUUCUUGUAGAACCUUGUAGAAAUAUGAGGUGUAGACAUUCGCCUUUUCAAGCUGAACUUUGCAAUAAUUUGCAGUUUCAUGAAGUCUGACAGGAAGUUGGCUUCCAGAUGUGGGCAGGGCAGGGCUGAGUCUGCCAGAUGAGGUGGAUGGACAGUAGAAGAGGAGAACAGCUCCAGGUGAUUGACAGCGAGGGGUUCGCCCAUGGAUGGGAUGUACUGGGUGAUUCAUCCUUCAUUUAUUUAUUUAAAAAUAGACACCUUCCUCCCGAAAUACUUAAAUAUGGGGGGAAAAGUAUUCUGUAAUUUUUACUUUAUUUUGCUAGUAAUUUAACUUUGGUUUUGUAAAAAUCUUGGGUAAUGGUUUUUACAAACAUGUCAAAAUGAGAAUCUCCAAGUGAAACUUGAGGGUCACGACUUCCUUCGAAAGUUCAUUUCCAUCCAUUAUUUGUCUGGAGGGAUGUUUACUUUCCAUUGGAAGGUGAGGUGAUGGAGCCGCGACGCGCGGAAUCUGGCAGCAGGAGGGCUGAGAAGCUUGACAGGGUAGAGGGGCACCACUUCUGUCGGAGCCACACUCUGUCUUGACAUCUGUCUUGGGAGGCGAGGCUGCGGCAAGGAGGCUGAUGCCUGGGGCGGGAUGUCAGUUGGGCAUCUUCUUCCCUUCAAUUAUCCAGCAGCUGAUAAAAAAUAAAAUAAAGUUUAAAAUUUGACAUGAUUCACUAAGUUAGUCAUCACGGUUUGCAUGGAAUUCAGUUGUGGAGCUCCGGCCCAGCCUCCCAGAGGAAGGGGCUGGAUGUGCACUUUGGGAAGCACAUUGGUUCUCUCGCCUGCUGGGGAUUCCCUGACUGGGGCCAGCAGAGCAGAGGGGCCUGAAGAAGCAUGGCUCCCAGAGGGAACCCCCCCACCCACCAGAGCCUCCACAUGUGUGCCUUCCUUCAAGGUGGAAUUUCUGACUUCAGAGAGCACGGUUCUCAGCACUGGGUUUGUGUUCCACGGCUUCACAGCUGUUAUUACUGUGGUAGAGGCUGUCUCCACAGUCAGGUCUAGGCCCUCUCUCUCUUGGCACCGGAGCAUUGACCAGACAUGCAGUGCAGAGCUGCCCAUAGCCAGGGGACAGGGAAACUAUGGAGAAGGGCCCACACACUAAGCCAAGAGGCAAUUAAUUCAUGCAGCCAGGAAGCAUUUAUAUGGUCCCCUGAUAGCUGGGAAGAGUGAGCACGGGAGUGUCCAUUCAACUCCCCAGGUGCCACUUAUGGUUCCAAGUGCACAUUUUUAUUCACACUGGUGAAUAAAAAAAAAACAGUCAUUGAUUUUCUUCUUUUGGUAAAAAUAAUUGAGGCACAUGAAAGAAAAUGCAGACAAAAAUAAAGAAUAUUUCUUUCACUCAGAUAAGAUCCCAGGCAGUAAAUAUGCUUCUGUCUUUUUUUCAGGCACAGAAACACAAGCAUAAAUAAAAACAGGAUCAUAUUUUAUAUACUGUUUUGCAUCUAAACUUUCUCAAUUAAAAUAUCACAAGCAUUUUUUUAUGCUACCUUGUGUUCUUAGAGACACACCCUCCUGUUAGGAAACUGACUAGCCCUUCUUUCACUCUUAGAUGUUCAGUGAGUUGGGGAUUUUUUGCAAUUAAAUGCUACUAUUGGUAAUUGUGCACCUUGAUCUUUGUUUGAAACUUCAAUCAAUUCUUUAGCACGUAUCUCUAAAAAUGAAGUUCUCUGCUUUUGAAAAGUCUUUUCAUAAAUAUUGUCAAAUUUCACCCCUAAAAUUUAUACUAAUACAUACAUGCUCCAUUGGUUAAUGAAGAUUUUAUAUCUCCAUCUGCUCACCAACAUUGAGUAUUUUAAUGAAAACAUUCAAAACAAAUAUUGCAAAUGCUCCUUGGGUAGAUGAAGAUGAUCAUUUGUCUUAUUAGCAUUUCCUUAGCCACAAACUGUCAUUUUUCUUGCUUUUGCUCUGGCUGGUCAUUCAAUGCUCUGUCACUGUGCUGUCCAGCAUCAGAGCCACUUGCUGAAUGUGGCUGCUCAAUUGAAGUGCAGAAACAAUAAAAUGGCAUUUUAAGUGUAGUUCCUUAACUUUGUCAGGGUCAUAGGGGCUCAAUGCUCCAGGGUCCCUAGGGGCUACGGCUAGUAUAGGUCUGGGCCAUGUCCCUACUUGCAAAACGUUCCAGAGGACAGUGUUUUGCAUGUCCUAAGGUGAGUUCUGUGGCCAUCCUCAGGAAUGUGACUUCCCUGAGGUGGGGCCUUACAGGUUCAACCGGUGUUAAGGUAAUUUUCAGAAAUCCAAGAGCAACUGGAUCUCCUUUGUAGAUGGGACAUGGUAAUGUGACAGAUACUUAAUAGACUAUCUAAGGUUUUAGGGUUUCUCUUAGUUUCAUUGAAAGCAGCUUGAGCAAUUCUGUCUAGUACGGACAUUGAGACUUGGCAAAGAAAAAUAAGACAGUGGGAAAGACCAGGGUGUGUUGUGACACACUUGUUGUUAGUCCAGACUCACUUUGAGAUUCAUGGUUCAAAAGACUUUCCAUCUCCUAUCUCCCAUCUUGAUGACAGAGGAGGACCCCAGCGCGGGGUCAGGCUAACUCGUGAGGACAAGUAUGAUCCUUCCGAUCCCCGAGGGCACCUAAAGCCAUGCUGAGGCCAAGUGGCCAAGAUGAGGCUCCCAUCCAGGUCUCUGCUUUCCUGUUUGCAUUUCUUCAUGUCAGCUUAGCUUUGAGAACACCCAGAAACACCUUCCUAUGAAGAAUCUCAGAACAGACUUGAGAUUUGUCUUCUCAUAAGGAAAUGUGUCAUUGGAGCUUUUUGAGACUGAUGGCCUCAUAUUCCAAUUUCGUCAUAAGAAUGUGGGCGAGGUGUUCCCGGCAGCACCUCUCCCCCGUGCAGAGGUGUUCUCAGCCUCUGUGGAGCAGAUGCCACCCUCCGCCUCCUUCCCUGCAGCACCCUGAGCAUUUACCAUGAAUGUUCUUCGCAGCCAAGGCCUGUUCAGGGCAGAGAUGGGGUGCAGUCUCUCUUCCCAAGUCAUCCUUUAGGAGCAGAAGAGCAAGGGGCCUCCGUGGAUGGGGGCUGUGGGUUUAGGGACCACAGCGUGAGGAAUCACACUGGCCAUGUCUGUCACAUGGCAGAAAGCUGGGGGUUGUACUAUUAACAUUUCAAUCAGAAUCAUUAGCCUUAUGUGGUUGAGUAGUGUCUAUGCCUUUAAUGGAAUGUACUCAACUGCUUCCCACCCUGGGCACAUCCCAGGCAGUGCUACAGCUGGACAGGAUGGACCCCAGAGGCUGCCCCAUUGCAUGCAGACGUGGCCUUGCACCAAGGUGUCGUCUGCUGGGACCCUUCUUCCUGCACGUGGGAAGCUCCGAGCACUGAGGAAGCCCAGUGUGGACACCCUUUUGACAGGCCCUUCCUACUGUCAGCUGGAGGUCUGUCUGAAUGUCCUCCAGGAGGCCUGUGGUGUGCUGGCCCGUGAGGAAAUCUCUGUUGCUCACUCAGGGCCUCUGCCUGGCGGGACGUGCACACACCGGCUCUUGGCCCACGCCUGGCCUCGGCAAUGUGGCGGCCCCUCCUGUGGGGCUGUUGUCUGGCAGCGCACGGGAGCAGCUCAGCCUGGGCCAGGACUUUAGAGAGAAGGCCUUAAGGUGAAGGAGCCAUGGUCUGAGCCACAUGCCCCGCUGGGUUCCCAGUUGUCUAUGGUCUGGUGACAACCAAGCCACAGCACACCUGAGAUGACCAGUUCUGGGCUUUCAGGACCUAUCCAGGCUCAUUACAGGACUUGGAGUCCCAGGUGCUUCCUCCCUCCUGGGAGGUCUGGGGGUGCCUGUCCUGCUCUACUCUGGAAGGUGAGCCGACUGCUUUCUUAAUGUCUUCCUGCAGAAGUGGCCCUUUUUGGUUUGAUCUGUUGUGACCACAUGUUCCUGGGGUGAGUCAGGUGAUUGCACCUCACAGGUGAAUGUCACCCACACAGGCCUCUGGCUUCGGGGAGGUUGCAGCUCCACAAGGCUGUGCUGGGCCGUAGCCUGCCCUCCUGCUGGCUUUCCUGUUGUGUUGUGCUGAGCCCAGAGAAGCUCCCAGUGUGUGCUUCUGGGCCCUCUGGCUGGUACUGGGGAGGCCGCAGGGUGGUCUCUAAUCCAGGGCUUGGAUGCAGACUUGGUAGCCGCCUGACAGAGGUGGGGUGCCAGGUAAGAAGGGCCCAGGAAGGCCCCCAGAGAAGCCCUGUAAUCCCAGCCUGGGUGUCUGUGUCAGGGCUCAGAGAGGAGGGCAGGCGCAGACCCCACCCCCAGCAUAUUUACAGAAGGCCUGAGAACAUUCUGUCUCCAAGGGAAUGCUCUUCAGAUUCUUUAUGGUCCAUUAAAAGGGUAGGAGAGUAUUAAAUAAAUUUUAUCUGAAAUCUGAAGUACCCAAUGAGUAGGAUAAAUGUUUGGCUUUAUUUUUGUGGUGUUGAGAGAUGUCUUUGAUUUCUAGUGCUUGCUAAUCUUUUCGUUUUCCUGAGUACAGGUAAUUCUAUUAUAAAUUAACAAGGGAAAGUUAACCAACAGUGGGAUUUUAAUUGCAGAUAAUUACUUGGAAUGCCAAAGUAUUUUACAAUUGAGAUAAUUUGCCUGAAAGUGUUGGUGUUUAGUGAAUAGAAUUUAUGGUAAUUCCCUUGUUUUCCCCCAACUGCCUGGUAAUCUUUGUCACAAGGAAGUGGAGGAGCUCGAGGAAUUCUGAACUGAAGAGAAGCCAUACAUGAAAGUGCUUAAAAUGUAUCUGUUUGUCUUUGUUUCAAUAGGAAUCCAAAACAAAGUUAAUCUGAUCAAGGAGGAUCAAUAGAAAAGUCAGUGAAGAUUCCCGUUUCUUUGAAGCUGGCAAAGGCAGGAAAUAAUCCUCCCAAACAAUGGAGCCUUUAAUUCACCCGCUCCGACAUUGAACGCCAUUGUGAAGCGAGAUUUGCUGGGUUUCAGGUUCUCUCUCAUCUGGGUGGAACAAGCAGGUGCAGCAGUGGAGGGGACCUCUGCGAUUACACUGUCGCCACUCCUGGCCAGGCCAAGUCGGUAUUAAUCCAGCUGCACCCCUGCGACGGUGGAGUUCCUGCAAGGGCUGGCUGCCCCUCCUAUUAUGGUACCUGCAGGGACUUCUUGUACCUGUGACGCGGUGUCCAGAGAGGAAAUGGAAACUAGCAAAGGAGUUCAGGUUCACCUCUGGAAAGGGAAAAUUCACUAGGUCUCUGACCUGGCCAUGAGCCGAGUGGACACACAUAUUCUAGAGCAACCAGGGAGGGGGGCACUGCCUGCCUCCAGGUCAUGGACACUGAGCUCCCCAACCCUGUCACACGUGUGGUGUGGCUGGCUCCCCCCGCCACACCCUGCCCUUGGCCAGCCCUGGGCCAGGAACUUUGCUCUACUUCUCUGACAGCAUCCCCUCAGGAGGGGGACAAGCAGGCCCUCCUGCUUUUCUGUUCUUUUAUGUCGAGAUCAGGGUCUGGGCUGGCAGACCCAGGAGAAGACAGUGGCCCGAUUCUCUGGGCCCAACACAGCGCAGGUUCAGCUCCCUGGAUGCCGCCAUGGAGGUCUGAUGUCAGGUGUGGGGGGAGACGGGAGGGCGAGGAAUGAGAGGACAGGGCAGACUCGACGUGGCCCAGCUGUCCUGCAGUCCUGUCCCUGAGCAGCCAUCAGAGGCCGUGCACUGAAGCCUCCUGGCCACACACACAUGCAGGAGUGAGGGAAAGCUAGUGGAGAUGGGGCCCUUGUGUUGCUCCUUGUGUGAAAGGAUGGGAGAGAAUUCUGUCCCAGCGCUCAGCUGACCAUGGCUGGCCAUGGGGUGGGAAGGCGUGGACACUCCCUAUGAGGCCACAGAACCAGUUGGUGUGAAAACAGAGAUGCGCAGGCUCCCUCUGCCCCCCAGCAUGAUUUCUCUUAGCGACAGUUUCUCACCUUCCUCCCUGACAAUUAACAUCCUCUGGAGCCCGCCAUGAAUCAGACCCUGUAGUGGGCUCCACGAAAGCAGAGAGUCAAGAGCUCGCUCCCAGGAACGUAGAAUGGAAAACAGGAGUGGCAUGCUGUGGAAGGCGCGCAGAGGGCGUGGUGUGGCAGGGACCCCAGAGCUCAGCUCAGCCUUCCCUAGCUGGCUAUGGGACCAUGAGCCCUCAGUCACAUUGUGACUGGGAAGGCCUUUGGGGUUGGGAAACCGCGUUCAGUGACUCACAGGACUUGAGCAGUACAGGAGGUGUGAUGGCUGCAGGGUCAGGCUGGGGUCCAGUGUGAGGAGUCACGGUUCGGGACGGGUGGGAAGGGCCAUCCACGCAUCAUAUUUCAUCUUUCCCAGCGUGAACACAAGGAAACUGACUCAGGAAUUUACAGCACUGUGGCUUGACUCCAGAGUACUGGCUUAGACCUUGGGUCAACAGAGAAAAAAACAUAUCAAGAUACUUGCAUGAGCAGCUCUAAAUGGCCAGUCUUCCUGAUGAUAGCCAGUGAGGGUACAUUUCAGAACAGAAAUGCAAUCUUCUCACCUGGGUUUUGACACUUCAGGACUGGAACUCAUGGCCCUGUCCCUUAUCUGGCCUGUCCGUCUGCCGUUGCCUUCGGUCUUGUGGCUCUGUAGUCCUGUCUGAUGCCCUGAUUAUAGGAGAGCCGUUGAAGAAGAGGCCAAGGGAGCAGAGCUCCCCAAGUGCUUGUCUGUGGGGUAGCAGAGCUCCGUUGGCUCAGUCAGUACGCACUGGCUCAGCUCGUUGACUGUCCAGGUGGAGUUCUUCACACAGCAGGCCUGUGCAACUCGUGCCAACAGAGGCCUUUGCCCACCGAGUGCUGCUGUCUUGCUGCUGCCGAGCUCUUUCCUGAGUCGCUCCUACCCUUCAGCAAGGCCUGCUGCUCCCAGGACUGCUACCUGUCCAUUAGCAACUUGAAGUAACCCUCCACUUCCCUCCUUCUUGCAGGCUCAGUACCUUCAAAGCAUCGUGCUGUCUUGGCUCACCUGGCCGGCCUUUGGUGUGCAGAACAACCCUAGACACCUCUCCUUGGAGCCUUGGAUUCUUGUCAUGUUACACAAGAAUCUCUCCCCAGAGUGCCUUUGCCUGGACUGUCCAGGUCCUGACCAGCCUGACUCUCGAAGGCUGGUCUGUGCCCUCCCUCCAGGCUGCCUCUAGUGGCUGUGCCUCCUUCACCAGCUCAAAGGGCCUCAAAUCACAGCCUUGCUGUUUCACAAAUGGCUGUGGGACCUUUGAUUAAGCCAUUUCAUCUUCCUCUCUUUGCACUUGUCUCCGCCCUUGCAGGUCUCAUUUGAAGCUAAUGAGACCUGGCCAAGCCGUGAUCUUCCUUUAACUAGGAGUCCCAGAGUGAGCUGCGUCACUGCCCCACGUCCUCUGGGUUUUGCUUUCCAGCUCCUGGGUGUCUCAGGCAGCAGCUGUCCCAGGGGUUUUAUGUGGCCUCUAAGUUGACUCUAUAUUUUCUUAAGGCUGAUUAUUAUUUUUUUUUAAAGUUUUCUUUGAGUUAAAUAUUUUCUUCCUAGUUUUAAGUCUGUCCUUUUGAAAUGCAUUGUUUCUGAGUUACCCUAGGGCAGUGCUCAAGGUUUCCCAGCAGACUGUGUGCUGGCCCUGGUCCUGGGGGGGGGGUGCCCUGACUCCUCUCCGGUCACCUCCUGGCCAGAGGGGCUCAUCCCAUUUGGACAGUCAUCCACUGACUCUCCUACAAGACCAGAUGAUGGGGACUUCCUAUGACUCCCAUGGACACAGAGGCAGAAGCUUCCAGAUGGGCUGAUAAUGAGCCAGGACGUGAAGAGGCUGCAGAGUCUUUGCCAGCCUUCUCUCCAGAAGCCACGUCCCCUGCUCCAUGGACUGCAGGCCACAGGUGGAGCUGUGUCUCUGUGGAGUCUACAGAGGUUGCAGGCAGCUGGUUCUCCCUCGAGUGCACACCUGAGAGAAGGUCAGAGGCUCUGUGAGGGCAGGACGGUGAGUGGUCCCCUUGGGGUGUCCAGUGGCGUCUGACCUUCAUCUCUGCUGCUAGAGGAAACCAUUUGGCUGUGUGAGUUCUAGUCUCUGAAUCAUAGUUUUCAGUUGACAUUCCAACCCUGCUGCUGAGGAAGAAUUGAAGACUUCCCACCUUCCAAUGCACACCUGGGCUUGUGGGGGAGAGCCAGACCCUUCAGAAUGUCAUGGGGCUGACGAAGGGAAAGAGGGACCCUCCCAGCUGCUGAGCGAGGCCCCUGGAAAGCCAGUUCCUCUUCCGGCACGGCACUGAGGCCACUUCUCCUUGAGUCUCCUUUCCUAUAGCACGUGAAAGCCAGCCCAGCACCUGCCCUGCAGCGUGAGGGGUGCAGACAGCUGUCCUUCAGCCAGUGCUCACCUGUGCCCAGGCCAUCAGCUGUGGACAGACACAGGAGGUCACUGUGAUAAGGGGCCCUCCGGUGUAAUCCUCUGGGAAGGAUGGUGGAUCUGGGGACUCAGGUAACUGCACACCUUUGACUACGUAGCUAGGUUCAGGUCUGAUAUUGUGGGCCUACAAAUUUCUCAUAAUAUUGACAAGAAACAUACCUUGGACUCUGCUUUAUCACCUUUUACAGUGUAGCGAUUCUUAAGGGCUGGCAGCUGGUUUUAGCAAAGAGCCUGUUGGAAACCAGUGUGAGCCCCAUUCAACACAUUUGGGUGCACAUGUAGAUUCAGCUGUCCAUGUCAGUGAGUAGCUGCCAAACAAACCAGCCCUCCAGUUCCUACAGAGCACCAAGCGUGUCUUCUGCUAAUCACCCCCAAGGACAUGUUUCCUGGGAGAAUGCUCUCCUACUGCACACAUGAUCACCCCGAGGCGCUCUGCAUCCCCAAGCAAUGGUGUCAGAGUUAGUUUUCAAAUUAUAAACACAAGUAUUCUUUCUGCCCCAUUCUUGUGGUGGUCAGGGCCACCAGUGUAAGUUCAUGUUUCAGAGCUAAAUGAAACUAUGGGAAUGUGUAUCCAAAAAUCAUGAGGAAAUUUUGGCUGUGGUAGGUGAGCAUUCAAACUGGGCAAGAGUCUCUCGGAGUGUGGGGUCAGCUUCCCCUGCAGAUUGCCCCAGGAACCCAUGAGUGGUAGCAGAGUGGGGGCAAAGCCGGACGUCCUUCUCCUACUGCUCCCGGCUCGGUGCUGGUGCUGUGCUUGCUGCUGUCUCACAGUCAAACUGCACCCUUGCCCGGAAUCUCCCUGGCUCUCCUUGGCAUCCCUAACCCUGCCGCUCAGCCCCACUACCCUCAUUUCCACAACUGAAGUUACACUAGAUGCUAAAUCAUGAAAUAUGCUCCUGGUAUGUUGAACACUCCAAGGAGCAUUUCACUUUCAGUCUACAUCGUUCCAAACGCCUACCUGAGUAACAAUAGCUACAUUUAUACCCAGGUAAGGAAAUGAGGCCUGCAGGGCACCACAGACUCCUUUCAGGACAAGGGAAGGAGCGACUGGGUACCACACCACACUGGGAUUCUGUGUCUCCAUGGGACCUUGCUCGACUGUGUCUUCCUCCUCCACUGAGAGUCCUUUAUCUGGGUUGGGGACACUGGGAUUCAUGGGCUCCUUAUGAAGACAGCAGAUCCUUGACUUCAGAGGUUGCUGGCUGGACACGUUCUUAGUCACACUUGGUUCGCCCAAUCCCAGGCCCAUUUUAUAGAUGGAGACAGACACAGAGAGGCAGUAAGCUAUAGCAUAUGACACAGGCUGCAGUCACAUAAAAGCGCUGCCCCAGGGGUCACACCAGCCCUUCGGCAUCACGGGGGGGCCUCCUUAUCAUGAAAGAGAGACCCACCAUCCAUUCUCCUGUUGGUGACGUCAAGCUCCUGCUGAGUGAUUGGCCCCAGCGGGUACUAGGGAAUGAAGAUGGGUGUCUGCUCUGCUGAGACUCCAAGCUCAGCAGAUGCCACUGGACACAUUGACCAUGGCUGUGGAAGGCUCGCUGGGAACUAGGCAAACCUCCAGUCUCAGAGUCCAGGCCUCUCCAAGUCCCUGAGGGGCUGCAGUUGUGUUCACAGGGACUCAUGUUCUCAAUACCUUGCAAAAGUAAAACUUGAGGCUCGGUCACUUACGUCCUUUCAUUGUACAGUCAUGACCAGCAGUUUCACUGCCCUUAGAGACACACCUUUUCAUGCCUUCCUCCCCGAACCCCAGCAAGCACCCUUCUUGUCUCCUUCAUUUCACCUUUUCCUAACUUCCCAGAGCUGGAACCGUGUACCCUGAGUCUGUCCCUGUGAGCUCUGUCACUGAGGGCCAUGCACUGAAGGCUCCAGGUCUUCAUGGCCACGGGGCUCCUUUCUUCUUAGUACUUAGUGGCUCCCAAGGUUUAGAGAUUGUGAAUUAAGCUGCUCUACACCUCAGUGUGCAGGUUUUGAGUGACGUAACUUGUCCAGUCUUUUGGAGAAAUACCAAGGAGCCUGGUUGCUGACUGCAGAGUGGGAGUGAGGUUAGGUUCCUGAGAACCUGGCAGACUGCAUUGCACAUUCCCUCCAGGUCCAGCAGGAGCUCCCGUGCUGCACUCUCCAGCUGACUGUGAUGUUGCCAGCGCUCCAUCUUCAGCCUCGUGAGAGGUGUGCAGCGUGAUCUCGUUUUAAUUCUCAUUUCUCUGAUAACACAUGAUGGGGAAUAUCUCUUCACAUGCUUGUCUUCUGUGGUGAGGUGUCUGUUAAUGUCUUUAAUCCAUUUUUUAACUGUGUUAUUUGUUUUGUUUUUUUAGUUUUAUGAGUUCUUCAUAUAUUUUGGAUAAGUCUUUUAUCAGAUGUUUUCUUCAAACAUUUUCCCCAAUCUAUGCCUUCUCUCUGUAUUGUCUUGACAAUGUCUUUUACAAAAAAAAUUUUAAAAAAAUUAUAAUAAAAUUAAGCCUAUGAUUUUUUUAAAUGUCCCAAGCAUUUGGUGUCAGAUCUAAAAACGCAACCCCAAACCUAAGGCCAUCAAGAUCUUCUUCUGUGUUCUAAGAGUUAGAGUUUGGGUUUUGCACUUAGGUCUGUGGUCCAUUUGGGGGGUUUUGCACUUAGGUCUGUGGUUUUGUAAGGCAUCAGGGCUGGAUCUGGAUUCUUUUCUUGGCAUGGGUGUCCUGUUGUUCCUGCACUGUUUGUUGAACGAUGCUCUUUUCUCAAUUGCAUUGACUUCACUCCUUUGUCAGGGGUCAGCUGAAGCCAUUUAUCUGUGUCUGGGCUCUGUUCUGCUCCAGUGAUCUCUUCACCUAUUACUGUGCCAAAACCAGCCUGCCAGGAUUACUGUAGCUUUAUAAGUAGUCAUCACAAUGGGGAGUGUCUGUUCUCCAACAUUAAUCUUUUAUUUCAAUAUCAUAUUGGCUAACCUGAGUGAUUUGCUUCUCCAUAAGAAAAUUUUACAAUCAGUUUGUUGAUAUCCAUGAAAUAAUUACUCAGAAUUUUCACUGGGAUUGCCCUGAUUCUAUAGAUUAAGUUCAAAAGAACUGAUAUCUGCACAUUAUUGAAUCUUUCUAUCCAUGAACAUGG